GAUGAACGCUGGCGGCGUGCUUAACACAUGCAAGUCGAGCGAAGCACUUUAUUUGAUUUCCUUCGGGACUGAUUAUUUUGUGACUGAGUGGCGGACGGGUGAGUAACGCGUGGGUAACCUGCCUUGUACAGGGGGAUAUCAGUUGGAAACGGCUGCUAAUACCGCAUAAGCGCACGGCAUCGCAUGAUGCAGUGUGAAAAACUCCGGUGGUAUAAGAUGGACCCGCGUUGGAUUAGCUAGUUGGUGAGGUAACGGCCCACCAAGGCGACGAUCCAUAGCCGACCUGAGAGGGUGACCGGCCACAUUGGGACUGAGACACGGCCCAAACUCCUACGGGAGGCAGCAGUGGGGAAUAUUGCACAAUGGGCGAAAGCCUGAUGCAGCGACGCCGCGUGAGCGAAGAAGUAUUUCGGUAUGUAAAGCUCUAUCAGCAGGGAAGAUAAUGACGGUACCUGACUAAGAAGCACCGGCUAAAUACGUG
rnacentral:rRNA from 1 species